rnacentral:piRNA from 1 species
UAGGCUGGCCUUGCACUACCAUAUCUAGUC